rfam:Angiostrongylus costaricensis strain Costa Rica genome assembly, scaffold: ACOC_scaffold0002401
GGCCCUGUGGCCUAAUGGAUAAUCCGUCGGUCUACUAAACCGAAGAAUCAAGGUUCGAGUAAUUGCUGGGUCG